rnacentral:rRNA from 7 species
UGAACGACUCUCGACAACGGAUAUCUCGGCUCUCGCAUCGAUGAAGAACGUAGCGAAAUGCGAUACUUGGUGUGAAUUGCAGAAUCCCGUGAACCAUCGAGUUUUUGAACGCAAGUUGCGCCCGAGACUUCGGUUGA